AUUGAACGCUGGCGGCGUGCUUAACACAUGCAAGUCGUGCGGUAACAGGCGUAGCAAUACGUGCUGACGAGCGGCGAACGGGUGCGUAAUACAUGGGAAUCUGCCUUUUAGUGGGGAAUAACCCGGCGAAAGCCGGGCUAAUGCCGCAUAAGAUCUUCGGAUGAAAGCGGGGGAUCGUAAGACCUCGCGCUGAUAGAUGAGCCCAUGCCGGAUUAGCUAGUGGUGAGGUAACGGCUCACCAAGGCGACGAUCCGUAGCUGGUCUGAGAGGACGGCCAGCCACACUGGGACUGAGACACGGCCCAGACUCCUACGGGAGGCAGCAGUGGGAAUAUUGGACAAUGGGGAAACCCUGAUCCAGCGACGCCGCGUGUGUGAAGAAGGCCU
rnacentral:rRNA from 1 species